GCCUGCCUUUGGCCCAGGGCGCGAUCCUGGAGACCCGGGAUCAAGUCCCACGUCAGGCUCCCUGCAUGGAGCCUGCUUCUCCCUCCUCCUGUGUCUCUGCCUCUCUCUCUCUCUCUAUGUCUAUAAUAAAUAAAUAAAUAAAUAAAUAAAUAAAUAAAUAAAUAAAUCUAUCUUAAAAAAAAAAAAAAAAAGAAAAUUAGUUGUCAGGGACCUCUUACCUGACUGUAAGUUCUUUGAGGAAUGGCACAUGUCUCAUUGAUCUUGGUAUCACCAAUGCCUUGCAGGGUGCCUGGCCUAUAGUGACCAUUCACCGGAUGCUGAUCGAGUAAAUUCUGCAUACAAAUGAGGUAUGCUCUACAGAGGAGAGAGGAAGCUAGAGACCCAGUCUCGUCCUGCAUUACAACAAUGAACCAUCUUGAGCACCUGGAAGCUACCAAAGCACCUGCUGCUUCUUGCACUCCAGCACCAAGUGAGAUAAGUAAGCUUAUUGUUGAUUAAGGGAGCACUGUGUCUUACCAAUCUCUUUAUUAAGAUAAAUAAACGUGUCCACUAGGACUGGGUGGCUGGAGAAGCCCAAUAUGAAAUCGCUCCAUUUCUGAAACCCACCAGCUUCAAGAAAUGGGUCCCUGGAGAGAUUCGCAAUCUUUGUUUGAAUCCCUUGACUCUCAGGCGUGAUGUUUGAUUUCAAAGUCUGUGUACACAGUGCUCAUGGCUCUAGGAAAAUGAGAAAACGUGGCUGGUUCCCCAGUUCUUGGCAGGUUUUCUCCUCUCCCUAUUCUGCUUUCCAAGGCCUUCCAAAGGCCUAUGAAAAUUAGCCCCACCUCUCCAGGUGCAAGGGGAAAAUAGGUUUACUUUGCAUUUUGGUGAUAACACAAACCUAUACCCAAGAAAAGGUCCACUUAUGAUUAUUGUUUUCUUGCUAAUUAUUUUUGUAUUGUGGUAAAAAAAAAAAAAAAAGCUAGCAUUAAAUUCACCACCCUAACCAUUUUAAAGUGUAUAGUUCAGUAGAGUUAAAUAUAUUUGCAUUUUGUAUAAUAGAUUCUGGAGUGUCUGUGUCUUGUAGAAGCAAAACUGUAUAACCAUUAAGCACUAAUUCCCAUCUCAUUCCCUCUGAAAAAACACCUUUGUACUUUGUUUUCUAUGAAUUUCACGACUUCAGAUACUUAUAAGAGUGGAAUCAUAAAGUAUUUUGUCCUUUCAUGACGGGUUCUUCUCACUUUGCAUAAACUCCUGGAGUUUAUUAUGUGGAUUAUUUAAUAUAUAACAUGACAAGGUUUAUGGGGAAAACGUACAGCAAGGUUGUCAGUGCCAGAGCUAACGGUUCGGUGGCCCUUGCUUUUCUCUUCUACUCACACCUGUGCGGGUUCUUCUCAAAGCUUCUAAGACCAGGCCUCCCCUGUCCCAUCCUGAGACCUUGAUCAACAUAAUGUAGGUAGGGGGAUGGGGUGGGAUUCUUGGUAGAGCAGCUGGAUUGGGUCCCGGCAGAGGCCCAUGCAACGGAGGUCCCCGGC
rnacentral:lncRNA from 1 species